GCUGUCCUGGAACUAGCUCUUGUAGACCAGGCUAGUCUUGAACUCACAGAGAUCCCUCUGCCUCUGCCUCCCAAGUGCUGGGACUAAAGGUGUGCGCCACCACCACCUGGCUACCCAUGGUGGCUUUUAAAAUUACAAAUCUUUUUGCUUCAGCCUCUCAAGUGCUGGAGUACAGGCGUGUACACUGACAUUGGAGUACACUGGCCCAGUUAUAAAGUGUCCUGCAAUCUAAGCUUGCCGUUUUUCUCAUGUUUUGAUUUAAAUUAUACAUGGCUCUAUUAUCACAAAUGCAUUAAGAGAUGCUAUUUACCUCCAUCACUACUGGUGCUGUUUACUUUUUUGAAACAGUGUCAUGUAGCUCAGGCAGACCUUAAGCUGAGGAUGACCUUGAGUUCACUAUCCUCCUGCCUCUUUGCCUCUUGAAUGCUGAGAUUACCGACAUCACACAGUCACUGUUCUAUUGCUAUGAAGAGACACCAUGAUCAAGGCAAUUUAUAAGAGGAAGCAUUUAAUUGGGGGCUUGCUUAUGAUUUUAGAGGGUUAGCUCAUUUCUCUUGUGGCAGGAAGCCUGGUACUGGAGCUGAGAGCCAACAUUAUCCCUAAUUUGCAGAAGGCAGAGAGAGAAAGACAGGCUUGGUGUGGUAGUUUUGAAACCUUAACCCCUCCCACCUCCCCCAGUGAUGCACCUCUUCUAACAAGGCCACACUUCCUAAUCCUUCCUAAAUAGUCUACCAACUAGGAACCAGACAUUGAAAUAUAUGAGCCUAUGGGGGCCAUUCUUACUCAAACUCCAAGCCUGGGGACUGAACCUAUUGGUUUCAUAUAUACUAGAUAAAUACUGGGCUUCGUUUCCAUUCCCUAGAGAUUAGCUAAGACUUCAGCACGAUAGAAAGCUUAACAUUUAUAAGCAUCCAAAAACUUGCCAGCUUCAUGCAAGUGUGAUGAUCCACUUGCUUUUGAAUGCAGACUUUUUGUAGAACUUAUGUUUCUUGGUAGUAGUCUCCAAUCCUUGUUAGCGUUUUGACUCCUGGGAAUCCAAAUUGAGAGCUUGGGAGAAUGCCCCUGUCCCUAAAAGGGGUCCAAACUUUGUCCCCAUUCUGACAAGGUCCUCUUGUUUGGGGAAAAACCUUCUAUCCCCAUCUGAUAAAUUUAGGCAGAUCUGGCCUGCCCUGGGCCCAGAACUUUAGGGUAAUCCUACUUUGUCUCAUCUCUGGCUGUGUCCUACUUGACUAGAUGAGGAUUCCAGAAGCUAAGGAGGCAUGGCCUCCCAGAGCCACCCCCUAUUUAAUUCUCUGAGCACUAGGACUCAAUACCAGCCACCCUGCCCAUGCCAGGUAAAUCCUAAAGAUGGCUGUCAGACCCCCCUUUUAAAAAUUAAAAGUUAGAUGAUGGGUGUGGUGGUGCAUAUAUGUAGUUCCAACACCUUUGCGGUGGAAGCAAGAAGAUCAGGAGUUCAAGUCAUAUCCCUUGGCCGGUAUCGGGAGUUCAAAGCCACCUGGGUUACAUGAGACCUUGUCUUAAAAAAACAAACUAAAACCAAGUAAACAAAAAGUCUAGAUCUAAUUGGUCCACUUCUGUGGGGCUCGUAGAAAGCACCUGCAUUUCCUUCCAGCCAGUCCUCAUCCUUGAGCUCUGUCUGACUUCGGUGGACACCAGUGUGCACAUCGUAACUGGCAUUCUGUGGCUUCACAGAGCAGGAAGAUGAGCUAGAGGAAGUAGAAGUUGAAGCCCAGCCAGCCCUUGACCUCCAAAUAGGAAAAGGUUGAGAAGGCAGGUCAGUGCAACCUUGGGUUAGUCUGGUAAUCUGCUGAUGGAGUCCAGCAAAGUGCCAACACUGAAGAGAUCUCUGACCAACCAAAGGGGAAUCAAAAAUAAGGGCCCUGCCAAGACCUGCAAAACUACCUCAGCUUCAGGGAGAAGACCAAAGGACAAAACCCUGUAACUGGAAGAAUUAGAAGUAACCAUCUAGGAGUCCUGGGCUAAGGAGCAGGAGAGACCGCUGCCUAUCCCCAGCCCCGCCUCCCAUAGCCCCGCCCCUCCCACCUAUUCCCACCCACCAGCUGCGGGGCUCUGCUGCCCGCCGCGUGGGGAGGGAGCAGUUUUCCUCCGAUCUCAAUCCCAGCGCCUUUCCUACCCACGCGCACAUUUGCCCGCCUUCUCACACAAGGUUAACGUCCCGUCCCACACAGCCUCAGUCUGUGCCUCCUGAGCCCCUCCCUUGGGAGACGUUGUUCUCUGGGCUCUUAAUCUGGGGUCCCCCUUCUCGCAGAGCAGCUUGGGAGUGCGCCCCUGUCCCUAAAAGAGGUCUGAUAAACUUCUCGGUGCUGACAAGGUAACCUUUUGUCUGGGCUGGCAGAAGCAGCAGGCAUGACUAGUGAAGACAAUGCUUAGACCCCAGGAUGUCCCCCGGCCAAACUGUCAUCAGCUGGAGCGCUCAGGCACUUCCGCCCCACCUUACCUAGUGCCUUAAACUAAGCUGGUGUUCAUGUUCAGACACCAACCACUGUUAGCUACUGCUGCCAACACCAAAUAUUCAUCCUCAACCAUCUGGUUCUGUCAGCACUCCCCUCCCCAAGGUCAAGAUUAAUAAUGUCUUCUGAGAAGUUAAAAGAGAACCCUCAGCCUUAUCCGGUCUUCAGAACUCUGCAUGCCGUGGAUUUCUAUUUCUCAGGUGAAGAAAUCAGUGGCUCAGAGAGGUGAUGAAAACUGCCCAAGAUAAAAUAGCUUGUAAGUAGGAGAGCUAGCUGUAAUUCUGACUCAGAGCUCAGAUCUCUGCAACCAUGUGCUUCCUCUCAUGCUUGCUGUCCACAGAUGGAGAUGCCCUAGAGUGGUAGAAAUGACGAGAGCUUGGGGAUAUUAGGG
ensembl:lncRNA